rnacentral:rRNA from 1 species
UGACCUCAAAUCAGGUAAGAGUACCCGCUGAACUUAAGCAUAUCAA